ensembl:lncRNA
AGCAGAAGGGCUCACUGUCUUCUACUGGAGUAAAUUCUCUGCCCCAGACAAUGUUGCGAUGGAAAUUCAGACCUCCGGCCCAGAGAGGCUGCAGCGGCGGCUUCCCGGCAGCAACAAGAUUCAGCGGGAAAGCCGCAACGAGCAACGCUACUUUAUGCAGCAAGAUGAUGACAUACUUCACUUACUGGGUUUGGACCCUGAUGACUUUGAUCCAGAUGAAAGAUCUGACAAAAUCAAAAAUCCAAAUAGUAUCCAGGGCGGGAAAUGGCAGCUUGGCUUCCAAGCCAUGUCCUUUGACCUCUAUGCCAAAUAUGG